GAUCUUUGAAAAUCUUUUUUAAAGAUGAAAACUUUGAAGCACGUUCAAAUGAUUCGUAUGUGGAAGGACUACUGGAAAACAUUCCUUUCAGAAGUCCCUCGUGAUAUGGAAUUCCAAGGCUGGAAAACAUCACUCAAGUGGGCAACUGAAUUAAAUUUUUAUUAAAAGAGAUGGGAUCAUGCUGUGUCACCCAGGAUGGCCUUUAACUCCUGGCCUCAAGUGGUUCUCCUGCCUCAGCCUCCCAAAAUUCUGGGAUUAUAUGCAGGACCUGGCUGCAGAGUCCCUGCUAAAACCUGCUUUAAAGAGGGCCAAAUUUGAAUUGGAGACUGCGAAAUUGGCUAAACGACAGAAAGAGAAGGACACGAGUAGCAGGCAAGGGGCCCAAAAGAAGACAGCGAAAAUGGGCUCGUCACAGUCUUGGCCAAGCUCCCCCCUCUGAGGCAUGACAAUAAAUUUUAAAACAGGGUUCUCUGGCCA
rnacentral:lncRNA from 13 species